AAAUUGAAGAGUUUGAUCAUGGCUCAGAUUGAACGCUGGCGGCAGGCCUAACACAUGCAAGUCGAACGGUAACAGAAAGCAGCUUGCUGCUUUGCUGACGAGUGGCGGACGGGUGAGUAAUGUCUGGGAAACUGCCUGAUGGAGGGGGAUAACUACUGGAAACGGUGGCUAAUACCGCAUAACGUCGCAAGACCAAAGAGGGGGACCUUCGGGCCUCUUGCCAUCAGAUGUGCCCAGAUGGGAUUAGCUUGUUGGUGAGGUAACGGCUCACCAAGGCGACGAUCCCUAGCUGGUCUGAGAGGAUGACCAGCCACACUGGAACUGAGACACGGUCCAGACUCCUACGGGAGGCAGCAGUGAGGAAUAUUGCACAAUGGGCGCAAGCCUGAUGCAGCCAUGCCGCGUGUAUGAAGAAGGCCUCCGGGUUGUAAAGUACUUUCAGCGGGGAGGAAGGUGUUGUGGUUAAUAACCGCAGCAAUUGACGUUACCCGCAGAAGAAGCACCGGCUAACUCCGUGCCAGCAGCCGCGGUAAUACGGAGGGUGCAAGCGUUAAUCGGAAUUACUGGGCGUAAAGCGCACGCAGGCGGUCUGUCAAGUCGGAUGUGAAAUCCCCGGGCUCAACCUGGGAACUGCAUUCGAAACUGGCAGGCUUGAGUCUUGUAGAGGGGGGUAGAAUUCCAGGUGUAGCGGUGAAAUGCGUAGAGAUCUGGAGGAAUACCGGUGGCGAAGGCGGCCCCCUGGACAAAGACUGACGCUCAGGUGCGAAAGCGUGGGGAGCAAACAGGAUUAGAUACCCUGGUAGUCCACGCCGUAAACGAUGUCUACUUGGAGGUUGUGCCCUUGAGGCGUGGCUUCCGGAGCUAACGCGUUAAGUAGACCGCCUGGGGAGUACGGCCGCAAGGUUAAAACUCAAAUGAAUUGACGGGGGCCCGCACAAGCGGUGGAGCAUGUGGUUUAAUUCGAUGCAACGCGAAGAACCUUACCUGGUCUUGACAUCCACGGAAGUUUUCAGAGAUGAGAAUGUGCCUUCGGGAACCGUGAGACAGGUGCUGCAUGGCUGUCGUCAGCUCGUGUUGUGAAAUGUUGGGUUAAGUCCCGCAACGAGCGCAACCCUUAUCCUUUGUUGCCAGCGGUUAGGCCGGGAACUCAAAGGAGACUGCCAGUGAUAAACUGGAGGAAGGUGGGGAUGACGUCAAGUCAUCAUGGCCCUUACGACCAGGGCUACACACGUGCUACAAUGGCGCAUACAAAGAGAAGCGACCUCGCGAGAGCAAGCGGACCUCAUAAAGUGCGUCGUAGUCCGGAUUGGAGUCUGCAACUCGACUCCAUGAAGUCGGAAUCGCUAGUAAUCGUGGAUCAGAAUGCCACGGUGAAUACGUUCCCGGGCCUUGUACACACCGCCCGUCACACCAUGGGAGUGGGUUGCAAAAGAAGUAGGUAGCUUAACCUUCGGGAGGGCGCUUACCACUUUGUGAUUCAUGACUGGGGUGAAGUCGUAACAAGGUAACCGUAGGGGAACCUGCGGUUGGAUCACCUCCUUACCUUAAAGAA
rnacentral:rRNA from 1 species